rnacentral:rRNA from 1 species
AUACGGAGGGUGCGAGCGUUGUCCGGAAUCAUUGGGCGUAAAGAGUUCGUAGGUGGCAUGUUAAGUUUGGUGUUAAAGGCAGAUGCUCAACAUCUGUAAGGCACUGGAUACUGGCAAGCUUGAAUGCGGUAGAGGUAAAGGGAAUUCCUAGUGUAGCGGUGAAAUGCGUAGAGAUUAGGAAGAACACCAGUGGCGAAGGCGCUUCUCUGGACUGUAACUGACGCUGAGGCUCGAAAGCGUGGGGAGC